UACGAAGGGGGCUAGCGUUGCUCGGAAUCACUGGGCGUAAAGCGCACGUAGGCGGAUUGCUAAGUCAGGGGUGAAAUCCUGGAGCUCAACUCCAGAACUGCCUUGAUACUGGCGACCUUGAGUCCGGGAGAGGUGAGUGGAACUGCGAGUGUAGAGGUGAAAUUCGUAGAUAUUCGGAAGAACACCAGUGGCGAAGGCGGCUCACUGGACCGGCAUUGACGCUGAGGUGCGAAAACGUGGGGACAAACAGGG
rnacentral:rRNA from 1 species